UCAGACAUGCAAGUCGAACGCGAAAGGCCCCUUCGGGGGCCGAGUAGAGUGGCGCACGGGUGAGUAACACGUAGGUAAUUUACCUUCGGGUGGGGAAUAACUCAGGGAAACUUGAGCUAAUACCGCAUAAUGCAGCGGCUCGACAUCGAGACAGUUGUUAAAGCGGGGGAUCCUUCGGGACCUCGCGCCUGAAGAGAAGCCUGCGGCAGAUUAGCUAGUUGGUAGGGUAAUGGCCUACCAAGGCGACGAUCUGUAACCGGCCUGAGAGGGCGGUCGGUCACACUGACACUGACAUACGGGUCAGACUCCUACGGGAGGCAGCAGUCGGGAAUUUUGGGCAAUGGGCGAAAGCCUGACCCAGCAACGCCGCGUGAAGGAUGAAAUUUUUCGGAAUGUAAACUUCGCAAGAACGGGAAGAAUAAGUGGGGGACAAUACCCCCCAUGAUGACGGUACCGUUUGUAAGCUCCGGCUAACUCCGUGCCAGCAGCCGCGGUAAUACGGGGGGAGCAAGCGUUGUUCGGAUUUACUGGGCGUAAAGGGCGCGUAGGCGGCGUGACAAGUCACUUGUGAAAUCUCCGGACUUAACUCGGAACGGUCAAGUGAUACUGUCGUGCUAGAGUACAGAAGGGGCAACUGGAAUUCUCGGUGUAGCGGUGAAAUGCGUAGAUAUCGAGAGGAACACCUGCGGCGAAGGCGGGUUGCUGGGCUGAUACUGACGCUGAUGCGCGAAAGCUAGGGGAGCGAACGGGAUUAGAUACCCCGGUAGUCCUAGCCUUAAACGAUGAAUGCUUGGUGUCUCGGGUUAUAAAGUCCCGGGGUGCCGUCGCUAACGCUUUUAGCAUUCCGCCUGGGGAGUACGGUCGCAAGACUGAAACUCAAAGGAAUUGACGGGGACCCGCACAAGCGGUGGAGCAUGUGGUUUAAUUCGACGCAA
rnacentral:rRNA from 1 species